rnacentral:rRNA from 1 species
AUUGAACGCUGGCGGCAGGCCUAACACAUGCAAGUCGAGCGAGCGGCGGACGGGUGAGUAAUGUCUGGGAAACUGCCUGAUGGAGGGGGAUAACUACUGGAAACGGUAGCUAAUACCGCAUACCAUCAGAUGUUCCCAGAUGGGAUUAGCUAGUAGGUGGGGUAAUGGCUCACCUAGGCGACGAUCCCUAGCUGGUCUGAGAGGAUGACCCGCGACACUGGAACUGAUACACGGUCCAGACUCCGAGGGGAGGCAGCAGUGGGGAAUAUUGCACAAUGGGCGCAAGCCUGAUGCAGCCAGGCCGCGUGUGUGAAGAAGGCCUUAGGGUUGUAAAGCACUUUCAGCGGGGAGGCGUUACCGGCAGAAGAAGCACCGGCUAACUCCGUGCCAGCAGCCGCGGUAAUUC